ensembl:lncRNA
CUCCAGGUGAGUGUAAAUAGCUGCUCCUUGUUGGACUCCAGGUGAGUGUAAAUAGCUGCUCCUUGUUGGACUCCAGGUGAGUGUAAAUGGCUGCUGAUUGUUGGACUCCAGGUGAGUGUAAAUGGCUGCUGAUUGUUGGACUCCAGGUGAGUGUAAAUGGUUGCUGAUUGUUGGACUCCAGGUGAGUGUAAAUGGUUGCUGAUUGUUGGACUCCAGGUGAGGGUAAAUGGUUGCUGAUUGUUGGACUCCAGGUGAGGGUAAAUGGCUGCUGAUUGCUGGACUCCAGGUGAGUGUAAAUGGUUGCUGAUUGUUGGACUCCAGGUGAGUGUAAAUGGUUGCUGAUUGUUGGACUCCAGGUGAGGGUAAAUGGUUGCUGAUUGCUGGACUCCAGGUGAGGGUAAAUGGUUGCUGAUUGCUGGACUCCAGGUGAGUGUAAAUGGAAGCGUGUCGGAACCAGAAAGAAGAAGAAUGGUUCUCGGUGCACCUGCCUACUUCCCACGCGUCCGGACUUCAAAUUGCUUUGAGCGCCUGUACCAGCUGUCUUCUGCCUGGGGAUUGGGUCGGGAUCCCUCCAUGGCUGUGGGUGUCCCUCCAGCUACCUCUCCCUGUC